rnacentral:rRNA from 1 species
AACGAACGCUGGCGGCAUGCCUAACACAUGCAAGUCGAACGAGACCUUCGGGUAUAGUGGCGCACGGGUGCGUAACGCGUGGGAACCUGCCCUUAGGUUCGGAAUAACUCCCCGAAAGGGGUGCUAAUACCGGAUAAUGUCUUCGGACCAAAGAUUUAUCGCCUUUGGAUGGGCCCGCGUUGGAUUAGCUAGUUGGUAGGGUAAAAGCCUACCAAGGCGACGAUCCAUAGCUGGUCUGAGAGGAUGAUCAGCCACACUGGGACUGAGACACGGCCCAGACUCCUACGGGAGGCAGCAGUGGGGAAUAUUGGACAAUGGGCGAAAGCCUGAUCCAGCCAUGCCGCGUGAGUGAUGAAGGCCUUAGGGUUGUAAAGCUCUUUUACCCGGGAUGAUAAUGACAGUACCGGGAGAAUAAGCGCCGGCUAACUCCGUG